ensembl:lncRNA
CUAUCCACGGCUAAAUUGGGUGCCCUCGAGCAGCGGUGGGCCGCUCAACUUUCUGAUUUUGAUUUCACCAUUAAGUACAGACCCGGCCGAGCCAAUGGUAAUACAGAUGGAUUAUCCCGGCAGUAUCAAACUGAUGCGCCUGCUGAAGGAUAUGGUGCCUUGAUGCCGGGCAGUGCCAUCCCCCAGAUGAUAGCACAACUCGGCAUACAACCGACCAUGGAGGCCCAGACCAGCGGGAGAGGCACGCCAUCCCCAAAUCAGUUUUGGAGAUGCUUCGCCAAUGGGAGAGGGUGACAAAGGAGGAGGGAGUUCUGUAUCGCCGUGUGUCUAGACCAGAUGGCGGGGAGGAAGGACGACAGCUAGUAUUGCCUGCUAAACUAAAAAAGAGGAAGUAUUGCACCAGUUACAUCAGGGCCAAGGACACCAAGGUGUAGAACGAACAACCGACCUAGUGAGACAAAGAUGCUACUGGCCAGUAUACACAGGCCAUUCCCACUCGAGACCAGCGAGCACCUACAGUGGAGUUCCGUCUAGGAUUCAUUCCGACCAAGGGAAAGGUUUUGAAGCGGUACUCAUCCAGCAGCUAUUGGAGAAGAAGAGGGACUGGACGUUGUACCUCCCACAACUUAUCUCUGCCUACAACACCACCAUACACCAAUCAUCUGGUACGGUGGACCACUGGCUUGGUGAACACCAGAGGCGACUACGAGCAGCCUAUGCCGGGGCAAGACAUCGUAUGCAGGGGGCUGCACAACGGAGAGAGGAGAGACACGACCGAAAUGUUGACGAAGGGCUGACCGUGGACCAGUUGGUGUAUCUGAGGGACCACAGCGUAAGGGGAAGAAACAAGAUCCAGGAUCACUGGAACCCAACACCCUACAGAAUUUUGACACUCUAACGUUCAUCGCUUGCCACAGACAACCGUGAGUGGGCAGGGCGCUACCGUUUUAGGUCCCCUUAGUCUUAAGUCAGGGAGGUGAGUCUUAUCCUCGUCCCGAGGGUAAAAGUAGUGGGGGUAGAUGUGUUGGGUAGUGUCAAGGGGUCGGGCUGACGUCAUCAAUGAGCGCCCUAUUUUACAGGCCGUCUCCCGUUCUCUAGCAGUCCGCUGAGAGGAGAGUAGCAGGUAGGUCGCUAACUGGUAGGUUGUUUGUUAUGGGGGAAAUUGUCAGCUUACAGAUCUCAACCUGGAG